AUACCUUUCUCGGCCUUUUGGCUAAGAUCAAGUGUAGUAUCUAUUCUUAUCAGUUUAAUGUCUGAUAUGUGGACCAUUGGUCCACACGAUAUUAGAUUUAUUUUUUGAGGGGGAAGAUCCAUCUAAGUAGCUUGCUACUUGGGUCUUCAUGCGUCGUCUUUGCAUUGCACUGGCCAGGCUCACCCCAGCAAUU